rnacentral:rRNA from 1 species
CCUACGGGUGGCAGCAGUGGGGAAUAUUGCACAAUGGGGGAAACCCUGAUGCAGCGACGCCGCGUGAGUGAGGAAGUAUUUCGGUAUGUAAAGCUCUAUCAGCAGGGAAGAAAAUGACGGUACCUGACUAUGAAGCCCCGGCUAACAACGUGCCAGCAGCCGCGGUAAUACGUCGGGGGCAAGGGUUAUCCGGAUUUACUGGGUGUAAAGGGAGCGUAGUCGGUUUAUCAAGUCAGAAGUGAAAACCCAGGGUUCAAACUUGGGACUGCUUUUGAAACUGCGUAGCUAGAGUGCAGUAGAGGUAAGCGGAAUGCCUGGUGUAGCGGUGAAAUGCGUAGAUAUUAGGCAGAACACCAGUGGCGAAGGCGGCUUACCGGACUGUAACUGACGUUGAGGCUCGAAAGCGUGGGGAGCAAACAGGAUUAGAUACCCGUGUAGUC